rnacentral:rRNA from 1 species
AUUGAACGCUGGCGGCAGGCCUAGCACAUGCAAGUCGAGCGGAUGACGGGAGCUUGCUCCUUGAUUCAGCGGCGGACGGGUGAGUAAUGCCUAGGAAUCUGCCUGGUAGUGGGGGACUACGUUUCGAAAGGAACGCUAAUACCGCAUACGUCCUACGGGAGAAAGCAGGGGACCUUCGGGCCUUGCGCUAUCAGAUGAGCCUAGGUCGGAUUAGCUAGUUGGUGGGGUAAUGGCUCACCAAGGCGCCGAUCCGUAACUGGUCUGAGAGGAUGAUCAGGCACACUGGAACUGAGACACGGACCAGACUCCUACGGGAGGCAGCAGUGGGGAAUAUUGGACAAUGGGCGAAAGCCUGAUCCAGCCAUGCCGCGUGUGUGAAGAAGGUCUUCGGAUUGUAAAGCACUUUAAGUUGGGAGGAAGGGCAGUAAGUUAAUACCUUGCUGUUUUGACGUUACCGACAGAAUAAGCACCGGCUAACUCUGUGCCAGCCGCCGCAGUAA